CUACGGGGUGCUCCAGGCGAGAAAACUUUGCAAUGUGCGAAAGCACGACAAGGUUAAUCCGAGUGGUUUCUGCUAAAGGAACCUUUUGUCAGUCCUAGAAACACUGAUGAAUAAGGGGUGGGCAAGUUCUGGUGUCAGCCGCCGCGGUAAAACCAGCACCUCAAGUGGUCAGGAUGAUUAUUGGGCCUAAAGCAUCCGUAGCCGGCUCUGUAAGUUUUCGGUUAAAUCUGUACGCUCAACGUACAGGCUGCCGGGAAUACUGCAGAACUAGGGAGUGGGAGAGGUAGACGGUACUCGGUAGGAAGGGGUAAAAUCCUUUGAUCUAUUGAUGACCACCUGUGGCGAAGGCGGUCUACCAGAACACGUCCGACGGUGAGGGAUGAAAGCUGGGGGAGCAAACCGGAUUAGAUACCCGUGUAGUC
rnacentral:rRNA from 1 species